UCUUUCCGCAGUGCCUUAGCUUUAAUCUAUUGAUUCUUAAUGCACCUGGCCUAGUUGCAGAAGAGAGGGAUCUGUUGUAUGCAGCAACACAAAUGCCUGCCCCUAUCUGGGGUCACCAAAGCAAAAAUGUUAGCUCCAUUGAGUUCUGUAGAGCGGGAGUUUUCCAAUGGAUGGGGAAGAGGAUUAUAUUCUACUGAAAUGUCCUUGACCAAAAAACCCUUCAAGAACCAGAGCCUUUUCCUCUCCAUGCUGCUGUGGCGGUGGUUGGAAAGGAACUGAAUCCAACGAUGCUCCAAACAUCUCACCUAAUGGAAGUGCACCAGAAUGGGAUGGAGCGAGAGCAUCAUGAGGAGCUUUGAAAGUCCUACCGAUGGCAGCUGCUGUGCAUGCACUUUGCCCAGUUGUGUGAAUACAACCAGGAUCAUGUCAAGGAUCAAUAUUUACAUUACACUACAUGUCAUCACUGAAGGAAUUCUGAGAAUUGUAGUGAUGGGAUACUGGAAAAUCUCUCAAAGAUUCCUAGCCAUUCCUUACAGAACUACGAUUCCCAAAGUUCCCUAGGAAGAAGGAUGACUAGUUUACAUUUCUUUUAUAGAUAUGUUCUAAUUUAAUCUCCUCUUCUGUAAAGUGUGAGACAAAUAAAAUGAUGCUCCAUCCUUAAUUAUUU